GGAUGCUUGUCGUAACCGCCACUUCUCUCCAUACGUUUUCGUCCGAAGUAUUUUUUAAUCAGACGUUGCCUUGAGCAGCCUAUGUCGGUCUUUUUACCCUCCGGAAUUCAAUUUUUCACUCGUUCAAUUAUCCGUACCAUGCGCGUCCUAUCCAGCUUGCCUUUCCACGUUGCACCGGUGGCACUAUGUCUAAACCAUUUGACAUAAACGUGUAUGCAGAAAUGUUUCACGUGUUCAAAUAUCCCACCGAAAUGUUUGGUCGUAUAUUGAGUUU